UACGUAGGGCGCAAGCGUUGUCCGGAAUUAUUGGGCGUAAAGAGCUCGUAGGCGGCUUGUCACGUCGGGUGUGAAAGCCCGGGGCUUAACCCCCGGGUCUGCAUUCGAUACGGGCUAGCUAGAGUGUGGUAGGGGAGAUCGGAAUUCCUGGUGUAGCGGUGAAAUGCGCAGAUAUCAGGAGGAACACCGAUGGCGAAGGCAGGUCUCUGGGCCGAUACUGACGCUGAGGAGCGAAAGCGUGGGGAGCGAACAGG
rnacentral:rRNA from 1 species